rnacentral:rRNA from 1 species
UACAGAGGGUGCCAGCGUUGUUCGGAAUUACUGGGCGUAAAGCGCGUGCAGGCGGAUAGAGUAGUCGGGUGUGAAAGCCCUAGGCUUAACCUAGGAAUUGCGCCCGAAACCAUCUAUCUAGAGUAUGGUAGGGGAGCGGGGAAUUCCCGGUGUAGAGGUGAAAUUCGUAGAUAUCGGGAGGAACACCAGUGGCGAAGGCGCCGCUCUGGGCCAUCACUGACGCUCAUACGCGAAAGCGUGGGGAGCAAACAGG